rnacentral:piRNA from 1 species
UGCUGUCUAGCAGGCUACAUCCUCACCCUC